CGAUCGGCGAUCGAUCCAGAUUCGAAAGUAUGGCCGUGCCUCGCCGAAACAUGACUCCCGGUCGGCGAGAUGGCGGUCUAAUCGAGGAACGCUGCAAGCGCCACGUUCGGUUAAGGCCGGCGAACGGCAGCGCAAAGUUCUCGAGGGCCUCUCGCGUGUAAACUGGUUAUUCCCUGAUUUAUAUCGGGGAAUAAGAUCGGACCGCGUACGGACGUGAGGAUAGCUCCCUGUUGCAGGAAAGAACCGCCGAAGAGAGAAACCGUGCUCGCCACCGGCGGCCAUAUUUAAAUGCGUGCGCAGAAUCGAAAAUGCACUCUCGACUUUCAUGUAGAGCGAAGAUCUACGAAGACGGACGGGUGCCAACUGCACCGAUAAGCAGCGAUGGCGUUCUGACGAUCGAAUUACGGCCUGACCUUGAAAAGAUCAGAUCCAUUACGAGAUUGACGAGCGCAUAUAUCGACUUAACGGCCGAGGUAAUCGAUUAUUGAGGGAACCGGAGAAAGCACCGAUCCGGUAAUUCGAUCUGCGGUGCCAAUAUAAAUGGAAUCGAUUUACGCCCAAGUGACUGAAGAGAUGGGCUUCGACGUAGAGGAGACCAGCGCGGGUUAAUCGGCGAGUUGACCAGGCGGAGAUAUUCCGGCAGAAGGCGAGGUUAAUGCAGAGCUGCAAAUGGCGUUGAGAGCAAUGAAACCGAAACCGAGGAGAAAAUCGGAAUCCCGGCGAGGGAGUGAUGAUAGUUCCCGGCAAUGAAGUGCAAGACGCCUGGAAGUGGUAUCGGUCUUUAAGACAAGUCAAAACUACAAGCUGGAAGUAACCAGGAAACGUAAGAUGAUAUUGAUCAGGGAAGAGCGAAGAAAACGAGGCUCGAGGAAAUUUGCGAUAUCGGUUGAUAAGAGGCGUUGCUGGGGGGGCCGCUUUUCAGAAGAACGUUCUAACGAAUCUAACAAACUUGCCGAUCGCGAUCUCCACGAGGAGGGCGGUAACGUUAACGAGGGCGAUAAUGCCUCGACUAUAAAGUCGAGGUUUAAGGUGAUGUGAAACACGUCGAGGAACUUGAUCGACGUCGGUAAAAAAGAUUUUUCUAAAUACUUACGUUGCCGACGUAGGUUAUUAU